rnacentral:rRNA from 1 species
GAGGUGCGAAAGCGUGGGUAGCGAACAGGAUUAGAUACCCUGGUAGUCCACGCCGUAAACGAUGACAACUAGCUGUUGGGAGACAAGAUCUCUCAGUGGCGCAGCUAACGCUUUAAGUUGUCCGCCUGGGGAGUACGGCCGCAAGGUUAAAACUCAAAUGAAUUGACGGGGACCCGCACAAGCGGUGGAGCAUGUGGUUUAAUUCGAUGCAACGCGAAAAACCUUACCUACUCUUGACAUACUUGGAAGCUCUUGUAAUGAGAGUGUGCUUUUAGAGCCAAGAUACAGGUGCUGCAUGGCUGUCGUCAGCUCGUGUCGUGAGAUGUUGGGUUAAGUCCCAUAACGAGCGCAACCCUUACCCUUAUUUGCCAGCGGUUCGGCCGGGAACUAUAAGGGGACUGCCGGUGACAAACCGGAGGAAGGUGAGGACGACGUCAAGUCAUCAUGGCCCUUACGAGUAGGGCUACACACGUGCUACAAUGGGGAAUACAGACGGACGCUAAAGCGUGAGCUGGUGCCAAUCCUAAAAAAUUUCUCGUAGUCCGGAUUGCAGUCUGCAACUCGACUGCAUGAAGUCGGAAUCGCUAGUAAUCGCGAAUCAGCAUGUCGCGGUGAAUACGUUCUCGGGUCUUGUACACACCGCCCGUCACACCAUGGAAGUGUGUUGCACCAGAAGUAGGUAGUCUAACCUUCGGGAAGGCGCUUACCACGGUGUGAUCCAUGACUGGGGUGAAGUCAUAACAAGGUAACCGUA